GUUUUGUUUUCCAGAGAGUGAUCCAGCUGCAGUCUCCUCAGCACUGAGAGGACCAGAUGACAUCACUUACGGACAAAUAGCCAUAAGACGAGAGAGUGUCCAGUAGAUCCAGAGGUCGUCUACUCUUCACUGAGGUAGACCUUCACACCUUCACACCAGUCCAACCACUGAUGUCCAGCUGGCCUGGAACUGGUCCCCAGAGCCCCUCACACCUCAGCACAUCCAUUUAUUAUGUUUCACUGUUAGACUGUAGACUCAGGCAGCUACAAAGUAAAACAUCUUUAUUUUUAUUUUUCCUUUAUUUAACCAGGAAGUCCCAUUGAGAUUCAGAAUCUCUUUUACAAGAGACACCUUGUCAAGGUAGCAGCCAAAUCACAACAAAUGCAUACACUUAUACACACUUAUACACAAACAGUAACAAAACAGUGUCCCAAAAAGACAUAUAUAUCCAUUGGAAAGCGACAUAUAUGACUGUUCCCCAUCAUGACAUCUGAGAGUGUUGGCAAGUCCAGCGACAGGCGUACUGGACUUUCAGUAAGUCAUUUGACCCUAAGUCAUGUGACGUUUAACACGUAGUAAACGUUGUGAAACGGUCAAGUUUAGGCUACAGAACCACUUGGUUAGGAUUAGGAGAAGAUCUCAGUUUGGGUUAAAAUAAGUAAUAAGUCACGUGACUGAAGUCAAAAAGCUAUUUAACUUUCUCUCACACGGGACUCGAACUUUGGUUUCCAGAGUAAGGGUCCGUAAUUUGCUUCACUCGUCCAUCCACCCCUCAUCAAGACUUUGUCGACCUUUAAAUUACCUGACUUGUUCUGCCACUAGAGGUAACGGCCAAACUAGAACGUAAAUAUGUGUUGUGAGAUAAAUAAUAAGAGACAUAGAUGAACGUUUCUCUGGUGAGGGCGGGCUGGAGAGAGACAGACAGGUCAGAUUUAGUGCAACAAAAAUAAAAUUGUUAUUUAUUGUUUUGUGGGUGAUGUAAUAACUUUACUGCUAUUUAUAUUGGAUUAAUUCUUUUUGUUUCUUGUUGAACAGCAACUUGGUUUUUUUUCUGUUGGAUCAAUAAACUUUGUCUCGUU